rnacentral:rRNA from 1 species
UACGAAGGGUGCAAACGUUGCUCGGAAUUAUUGGGCGUAAAGCGCACGUAGGCGGCAUUGCAAGUCGGAUGUGAAAUCCCUCGGCUUAACCAAGGAAGUGCAUCCGAAACUGCAGUGCUUGAGUACUUAAGAGGAUCGCGGAAUUCCCGGUGUAGAGGUGAAAUUCGUAGAUAUCGGGAGGAACACCGGCGGCGAAGGCGGCGAUCUGGGUCGAUACUGACGCUGAGGUGCGAAAGCGUGGGGAGCAAACAGG